rnacentral:tRNA from 2 species
GUGAGUGUAGCUCAGCUGGUUAGAGCAUCUGGUUGUGGUCCAGAGGGUCGUGGGUUCGAGCCCCAUCACUCACCCCA